AUUGAACGCUGGCGGAAUGCUUUACACAUGCAAGUCGAGCGGCAGCGCGGGGGCAACCCUGGCGGCGAGCGGCGAACGGGUGAGUAAUACAUCGGAACGUGUCCUUGAGUGGGGAUAGCUCGGCGAAAGCCGGAUUAAUACCGCAUAAGCUCUGCGGAGGAAAGCGGGGACGUGUAACGGCCUCGCGCUGUUGGAGCGGCCGAUGUCGGAUUAGCUAGUUGGNGGGUAAAGGCCGACCAAGGCGACGAUCCGUAGCUGGUCUGAGAGGAUGAUCAGCCACACUGGAACUGAGACACGGUCCAGACUCCUACGGGAGGCAGCAAGUGGGGAAUUUUGGACAAGUGGGGGCCAACCCUGAUCCAGCCAUUCCGCGUGAGUGAAGAAGG
rnacentral:rRNA from 1 species